UACAGAGGGUGCGAGCGUUAAUCGGAAUUACUGGGCGUAAAGCGCACGUAGGCGGCUUGGUAUGUCGGGUGUGAAAUCCCCGGGCUCAACCUGGGAACUGCAUCCGAAACUGCCUUGCUAGAGUAUGGGAGAGGGAAGUGGAAUUUCCGGUGUAGCGGUGAAAUGCGUAGAUAUCAGGAGGAACACCAAUGGCGAAGGCAGCUCGCUGGGACGGUACUGACGCUGAGGCGCGAAAGCGUGGGGAGCAAACAGG
rnacentral:rRNA from 1 species